rnacentral:rRNA from 1 species
ACGAACGCUGGCGGCACGCUUAACACAUGCAAGUCGAACGAGAGAAGAGAAGCUUGCUUUUCUGAUCUAGUGGCGGACGGGUGAGUAACACGUGAGCAAUCUGCCUUUCAGAGGGGGAUACCGAUUGGAAACGAUCGUUAAUACCGCAUAACAUAAUUGAACCGCAUGAUUUGAUUAUCAAAGAUUUAUCGCUGAAAGAUGAGCUCGCGUCUGAUUAGCUAGUUGGUAAGGUAACGGCUUACCAAGGCGACGAUCAGUAGCCGGACUGAGAGGUUGAUCGGCCACAUUGGGACUGAGACACGGCCCAGACUCCUACGGGAGGCAGCAGUGGGGAAUAUUGCACAAUGGAGGAAACUCUGAUGCAGCGAUGCCGCGUGAGGGAAGAAGGUUUUAGGAUUGUAAACCUCUGUCUUCAGGGACGAAAAAAGACGGUACCUGAGGAGGAAGCUCCGGCUAACUACGUGCCAGCAGCCGCGGUAAUACGUAGGGAGCGAGCGUUGUCCGGAAUUACUGGGUGUAAAGGGAGCGUAGGCGGGAUCGCAAGUCAGAUGUGAAAACUAUGGGCUUAACCCAUAAACUGCAUUUGAAACUGUGGUUCUUGAGUGAAGUAGAGGUAAGCGGAAUUCCUAGUGUAGCGGUGAAAUGCGUAGAUAUUAGGAGGAACAUCAGUGGCGAAGGCGGCUUACUGGGCUUUAACUGACGCUGAGGCUCGAAAGCGUGGGGAGCAAACAGGAUUAGAUACCCUGGUAGUCCACGCCGUAAACGAUGAGUACUAAGUGUUGGGAGUCAAAUCUCAGUGCUGCAGUUAACGCAAUAAGUACUCCGCCUGAGUAGUACGUUCGCAAGAAUGAAACUCAAAGGAAUUGACGGGGGCCCGCACAAGCGGUGGAGCAUGUGGUUUAAUUCGAAGCAACGCGAAGAACCUUACCAGGUCUUGACAUCGUAUGCAUAGCUCAGAGAUGAGUGAAAUCUCUUCGGAGACAUAUAGACAGGUGGUGCAUGGUUGUCGUCAGCUCGUGUCGUGAGAUGUUGGGUUAAGUCCCGCAACGAGCGCAACCCUUACUGUUAGUUGCUACGCAAGAGCACUCUAGCAGGACUGCCGUUGACAAAACGGAGGAAGGUGGGGAUGACGUCAAAUCAUCAUGCCCCUUAUGACCUGGGCCUCACACGUACUACAAUGGCUGUUAACAGAGGGAUGCAAAGCCGCGAGGUGGAGCGAACCCCUAAAAGCAGUCUUAGUUCGGAUUGUAGGCUGCAACCCGCCUACAUGAAGUCGGAAUUGCUAGUAAUCGCAGAUCAGCAUGCUGCGGUGAAUACGUUCCCGGGCCUUGUACACACCGCCCGUCACGCCAUGGGAGUCGGUAACACCCGAAGCCUGUAGUCUAACCGCAAGGAGGACGCAGUCGAAGGUGGGAUUGAUGACUGGGGUG